rnacentral:rRNA from 1 species
CCUACGGGUGGCAGCAGUGGGGAAUAUUGGGCAAUGGGCGCAAGCCUGACCCAGCAACGCCGCGUGAAGGAAGAAGGCUUUCGGGUUGUAAACUUCUUUUAAGAGGGAAGAGCAGAAGCCGGUACCUCUUGAAUACGCCUCGGCUAACUACGUGCUAGCAGCCGCGGUAAUACGUUGGUGGCAAGCGUGGUCCGGAUUUACUGGGUGUAAAGGGCGUGUAGCCGGGCUGACAAGUCAGAUGUGAAAGCUCGUGGCUCAACCACGGAACUGCCUUUGAAACUGUCGGUCUUGAGUAUUGGAGAGGCGGGCGGAAUUCCUAGUGUAGCGGUGAAAUGCGUAGAUAUUAGGAGGAACACCAGUGGCGAAGGCGGCCUGCUGGACGACAACUGACGGUGAGGCGCGAAAGCGUGGGGAGCAAACAGGAUUAGAUACCCGGGUAGUC